GGGGGGGGGGCGGGCGACUCCCGUGCUCCGACGGCCGGAUCUCGCGGCCUCCACCCGAGCAGGACGCAGGGUGGGGUCGGUCUAGCGUGAUUCCGUUGAAGUUGUACUGGCCCGAUUGUGGAAAGAAUUUCCGUGAAGAGUCUGAUGGCAGCAUCUGGAUGAGGGGCAGUCUAAUGCAAAGUGAGUAGAGAAGAGGGAGGAAGAACAAUACAUCCCACUAAGUGACAAGAUAACACUUGCUUGAUUAGUGCCAAGAGAAAAAAAAAGCAUUUCCAUUGGCUCUCAAGGACUCUCUCAGCUACAAAAGGUAUUGGCAAACCGGGGGUCUCCCUGGUCUACUCCAUGCCCUCCCAGAAUGUGUCCCUGCGGCUGCAGGGCCUCCAGGAAAAAGACUCUGGGUCCUACCGCUGCUCUGUGAACGUGCAAGACCACCAAGGCAUCAAAAUGAGCCACAGCAGCAAAACUCUAGAGCUCAGGGUGCUGGUUCCUCCAGCUUCUCCAUCCUGCCGUCUCCUGGGUGUGCCCCGUGUGGGGACCAACGUGACCCUGACCUGCCAGUCCCCAAGGAGUAAGCCAGCUGCCCAGUACCAGUGGGAGCGGGCACCCCCAUCCGCCCAGGUUUUCUUUGCACCAGUUUUAGGUGAGGGAGCUUGAGGCUGUGGCUGGGGGAGGGAAAGAUGAGAGGCACCAGAGGGACUGGGGUGAAAAGGGGAGGCAGUGCUGCAAAGUCCUGGGGCAGAGUUGGCAGAGGAGGAGGAUGUAGGGAGGGGACUGGAGAAAGAGAGCCUACCAGAUAGGCAAUGUGUUGGGCGCUUUCAGAUACUGUAUACUUACGACACUCAAGAGGACAUGUGGCCUACUAGAUUACCUGUGCUCACAUCUAACAGAACAUGCUGGAGUGUACUGCACAUAGUUAAGGAGAAUAUCAUUUUGUGGAUUAAGCAAAUGAAUAUUUGUGAAACACUUCCAACAGUGCGUGGCACGUGACAAAUGUUAUGUAAGUCUCAGCUAUAAUCAUAAUUUUGUGAAAAGUGUUUCAGUCACACAUAUAUAUCAUCAGAAUAUUAGGCCACAGGGUAAAAUAUAUGUCUUCCUAUUCCAUGUUCAAAAGAUGCACUGCUUUGGUUUUUCUUUCCAGUAUAUAAGAAUGAGAUAUAUAAUAGAUAUUUGCACAACUACAAUCCAACACUAUAAAAAGGUUAUUUAUCAAAACAUAGGGAUGCCUGAGUGGCUCAGUCGUUAUGCAUCUGCCUUCGGCUCAGGUCAUAAUCCCAGGGUCCUGGGAUCAAGCCCUGCAUCGGGCUCCCUGCUCAACGGGAAGCCUGCUUCUCCCUCUCCCAUUCUCCCUGUUUGUGUUCCCUCUCUCGCUGUCUCUGUCAAAUAAAUUAAAAAACAAACAAACACAUAAAAUUGUCUAGAAUUGGCAUGCGCACUCUACUGUUAUUCCAAAACUACCUGCUCCACCUUUUUCUUGGUUCUUAAGGACACCACCAACUAGUCAUUUGUAGAUUCUAAGUCCUACCUUCACCAAAUGCCAUGCACUAUAACAAAUUGUUCUUCAAUUGAAAUGCAUGACUUUGUAAGCAACUUAUCACUUAUAAAUUUUCUGGAACAACUACAGCAUUUAGAUGUUUCCAGUUUAGGAUUCUUGAACAAAAUAUAUUUUGCUGUAUUUGUGGUCUGCACUGUUCUAGGCUCUGCGGUUUCUGGCCUUUACCCCAACCGCUCAUCUCUCUCUACUUUCCUCUGCUCAGUUUGGUCCCACUUCACCUUCAAGACCCACCUCCUGAAAGUCUACGAUGACAUGCCUUUCCUGUGUGUGCCCGAAGCACCAUGAACUUAAUGUCGACAUGCUACACAGACCUUACUCACAAUACCGUAACUGGUGCUUUAGUAGUCUGACUCCUUCAAUGGAAGGUGGACACUUGAUGGUAGAUGGUACCCUGCUGCAUGUCUAAGGUCUACCAUGCAAGGUACUCAAAUAUUUGUGGGUGAAUAAUAAAAAAAAAUCAAGUGCCUAUUUCAUACUUUAGUAUUUGGAGAAACCCUGUGAUCAAUCUGUGAGUUGAGUCUGAUGAAACAGAAUGGGCAAGAUCUCCAAAUCUUCCCACAGAUUCUUGCACUUUAGCCAAGAGUUAAGCUCCACACGUUUCUCCCGUUUUCCUAAGGGCAGUGGAAUCCAAGGGCCCAGCCCCACUAUAUCUGCCAAGAAAGAUAGCAGAAAGAGGCUCAGAGUUCUAACGCAGUGGCCUCCCGCUGGGGUAUCCCUACUCUUUCUUUAAUGAUUAAUCAAGGCACCUUAAAACCUUAGGGAUUCCUGGCAGCAUUCCCAGUCUGGUCCAUUAUUUCUUAGGUGGAAAGCUUGGCCCCUCAAUUUGGAACAACCAAAGCAAAAUAGGCUAGUGAUAUUGUUUCUUUUAAAUGUAAGUGGAAUAUUGUCUGAUGACCAACAUUUUCAAGAUGCAUUUGAUAAAAUCUACAGAAAUGAAUUUUGUGUGGAUUUUUCUGAUUCAGAGUACAUUACUGAGUAAAUUUACGGCCAAUCCUCACAUCUGAUUCAUCUCAUACUAGAUUUACUAUUUCCUAUAUCCUAUUAACUUCCCGUAAACUUUCAUGUAUGAUGAAAAAAAUUUCAAUGUCAGCUUUAAAAUGUUCGAGAGAGUACAGAAACUCUUUUGGGAGUACAUAAACAGAAAAGUUUAAAUACCAUUAUUCCAAAGCUGUUCUGGCCAAUACAACAGCCACUGGCUAGAUAUACAUGACUCUUUAAAUUAAUUAAAAUUAAAUAAAAUUAAAAAUUCAGUUUCACAGUCCCACUAGCCACAUGUCAAGUAUUCUAUAAGCAGCUACGGCCAGUGGCUACUGCACGGUGACUGACGGACAGCGCAGACAGUAAGACACUCGUAUCACAGAAAGUUCUAUCAGACGGCACCCCCUAGAGAGCUAAGAGCAGGACCACCCUUAGCCCCAGCCCACUGAGGGUGUGACACUGCAGUCCUUGCACUAAAAGCUCUUCCUCCCUAGUACAGUGGACCAUUUUUCUUCACUUCUAUCAAGGUUCCUCCUCCUCAGAAGCAAAGUGACGGCGGGCGGGGUGGGGGGGGCGGGCGCCAAGAGAAAGGAACUUUGAGCUUCCCCUAAAAGUCUGAGUACGUAGCUAAGAGAACCGUUUCAUAAAACAGACUUCUUUAGUACUCCAAGUAACAACUUUUUACCUACACUGUUCAAUAUGGUAGCCACUAACCACAUGUGGCAUUUAUAGUUUAAAAUUAAAAAAAUUAAAGGGGCGCCUGGGUGGCUCAGGCAGUUAGGCAUCCGA